rnacentral:rRNA from 1 species
UCGAGAAUUUUUCACAAUGGGCGAAAGCCUGAUGGAGCGACGCCGCUUGGGGGAUGAAUGGCUUCGGCCCGUAAACCCCUGUCAUUCGCGAGCAAACGUUAUUAUUUAAAAGAUGAUAGCCUGAUAGUAGCGAAAGAGGAAGGGACGGCUAACUCUGUGCCAGCAGCCGCGGUAAUACAGAGGUCCCAGGCGUUGUUCGGAUUUACUGGGCGUAAAGGGUGCGUAGGUGGUGGGGUAAGUCGGAUGUGAAAUCUCGGAGCUCAACUCGGAAAGUGCAUUGGAAACUACCCUGCUCGAGGGUUGGAGGGGGGACUGGAAUACUUGGUGUAGCAGUGAAAUGCGUAGAUAUCAAGUGGAACACCAGUGGCGAAGGCGAGUCCCUGGACAACUCCUGACACUGAGGCACGAAAGCUAGGGGAGCAAACAG